GAUGAACGCUAGCGGCAGGCUUAAUACAUGCAAGUCGUGGGGCAGCAUGACUGUAGCAAUACAGUUGAUGGCGACCGGCAAACGGGUGCGGAACACGUACACAACCUUCCUUUAAGUGGGGAAUAGCCCAGAGAAAUUUGGAUUAAUACCCCGUAACAUAGUGAAAAGGCAUCUUUUUAUUAUUAUAGCAGCAAUGCGCUUAAUGAUGGGUGUGCGGCUGAUUAGAUAGUUGGCGGGGUAACGGCCCACCAAGUCUGCGAUCAGUAACUGGUGUGAGAGCACGACCAGUCACACGGGCACUGAGACACGGGCCCGACUCCUACGGGAGGCAGCAGUAAGGAAUAUUGGUCAAUGGACGCAAGUCUGAACCAGCCAUGCCGCGUGGAGGAUGAAGGUCCUCUGGAUUGUAAACUUCUUUUAUAUGGGACGAAAAAAGGUCUUUCUAGAUCAACUGACGGUACCAUAUGAAUAAGCACCGGCUAACUCCGUGCCAGCCGCCGCGGUAAUAC
rnacentral:rRNA from 1 species